rnacentral:rRNA from 1 species
AACGAACGCUGGCGGCAUGCCUAACACAUGCAAGUCGAACGAGACCUUCGGGUCUAGUGGCGCACGGGUGCGUAACGCGUGGGAACCUGCCCUUAGGUUCGGAAUAACUCCCCGAAAGGGGUGCUAAUACCGGAUAAUGUCUUCGGACCAAAGAUUUAUCGCCUUUGGAUGGGCCCGCGUUGGAUUAGCUAGUUGGUAGGGUAAAAGCCUACCAAGGCGACGAUCCAUAGCUGGUCUGAGAGGAUGAUCAGCCACACUGGGACUGAGACACGGCCCAGACUCCUACGGGAGGCAGCAGUGGGGAAUAUUGGACAAUGGGCGAAAGCCUGAUCCAGCAAUGCCGCGUGAGUGAUGAAGGCCUUAGGGUUGUAAAGCUCUUUUACCCGGGAUGAUAAUGACAGUACCGGGAGAAUAAGCUCCGGCUACCUCCGUG